CGUCGCAAUCUCUGCAGUCUAAUUCCCCACCGCCGUCUCCUCCUCGGAUCUGCUGAAGCAGCCGUAACAAAGUGUCAUAGGUCCCCGCCGCAGCAGCAGUGUGGAGCGCAGUCCAACCUUUGGACUGUGUCGCCGGAUUCGAGCGAGGUAUUAUUCCCUUUGCUUUUGAGAUUGUGGCGGAGGCGGUCGGAAUGAUGGGCCCGAUAGUAUUGUCGGAGGGCUCUAGACCGAGACCGGCUUCGAGUAGUAAUUCAAGGAUGGUUGGGUCGUGACAGGAAGAAGAAGCUCGGAGAAGAUAAGCGGUGUCCGAUGAGUUGAUCAGAGGAGGCACCAUACAUUUCUGCCGCCG
rnacentral:lncRNA from 1 species